rnacentral:tRNA from 3 species
GCCAGGUUAGCACAGCUGGUAGUGCGGCUCAUUCGUAAUGAGCAGGUCGGCGGUUCGAAUCCGUUACCUGGCUCCA